GCGGGAGUUACCAUGGAAACGAAGUGACAGGAACAAAGUGCGAAAAGUGUCUCUACGGUUUAACAUUUGUCCAUGCUGAUGGCCAUGCAGCAGAGUUCAAGCAGACCUGUCAGAAAACACUUCCAAGGUGCUAUGAACCAUAUGGCUAGUUACAGAAGCUCCAGUAUGGAUCCAGCCUCACUUGUGAAGACUUCAGAUGAUGCCUACACUCGCGAAGACUUCAGAUGAUGACAACUAAAGAUGGACAUACAAAACUGCCAAACGUUAUAUUGUAAUCACUGCCUCGAAGCAUAAGUUUGCAGAUUCGCAACCCACUUUAUAUUUUACAAUAAAUGGUAAUAUUUAAAUGGACAAUGUUUACUUUUUUCUUUAGUUAAACUUGUACUGAGAUAUUCACAUUUAUUUGUCCGCAAUACUCUUCCGAAUACAUAUAUUACAGACAGUGAAACAAUAUAAGGUGGGUUGAAAAUCUGUUAACCUUCUCUAUAAUAAUAAUUGUCUGUUUAACUGAGCAUGACUUGAAACACAUGACUUACAUUAUCUUAGAGCUAUUGCUACAUGAACAUUACUUUGUUCAUUAAUGAGAUAAAUGCUUACCCCUUGUUUCACAGACAAGACUUAAGCCUAGUCCUGGACCAAGACACUUCUUUGAGCUGUCUCAAGAUACAAACCACCGGUGAGGGCUCGUGACUGCUUUUCCGAGAGGCGCAUAUUUAUACUAUGUGUUCGAAGUGUCAUGUUAGUUGCUCGUGUUUUCAAAAUAUGUGUUUGUUGCGUUAUGUGAACCAUGUGCAUCACGUCUUUUGUCAAAAUAAGUGCCUGCUGCCCACGCGUCAAAACAAUUUAUGUUAAAAGAGACGCUCACGUUCAUAAAAUACACGCAAGACACUCCAUUAACAGUAAACUUUGAUUAUGCAUGAGAUUAUGCGAGUAUCUGGCAAACGUGAGAGUCUCUUUUAUCAUAAACCGUUUAGACGCGCCUACAGCAGGCACUUAUUUUGACAAGGCACAUGAUGCACACAGGUUCACUCAACGCGCCAACACAUAUUUUGAAAUUACGAACCACACACAAAACUGGCUACAUACAUGUUCAGACGAACUGUGCAUCAUGCGCACUCGAAAAAAGAAGUCACCGGCCGCCACUGCACACUACUAACAACUUUUUUUAAGGCAUGUUUAUUAAAGAUGCUUAAACAUCUUAAUUUAAAGGGGCGGUGAAUUUAUCGAUUUUAUUGUUUUAUACUGUUGUCUGAUGUCUACUUAUGAUGUUCUCGUGGUUUUAGCAUCGACUUCUUUACAAAUGAAUCCGUGUACACAAAGUAAACACUCCCCACUCGAGCUGAAACUUCUUCAAAAGCCACGCAUUACUAAUGUUAAGACUCCGUUAUCCAGCAUCUGUGUUCUUCCCAUAGACCGUUCUUCCACAACCGAAAAUGCGUUUCCGUGGUUACUUCAGAUCACCGCGUCAAAAUAAAAGUCUCUCAGAAAAAAUGUAUUUAAAAGUCAUUUUGGUUACGUUUGGCAAUCUUUAAAUACAUGUUUACUUAUUGUUGAGACACACGUGUCUCACGCGAAGCUGUGGGCGGGGCUACAAAAGUGGUCCUUGUAUUUGGCUAUGGGGAGGUGCUUCAAUUCUACUUUGACGUCAUACUUUUCUGAAUUCCACACUGGCUUGUUUUACUGGCUUGGUGCCAAAAACUGUUAUAUUUCAGUAGCAAGGACGUUUUCAGUUCUGAAACUUUC